AUAGUCUAAUGGUAAAAUUUCUCUUUGCCAAGGAGAAAACGCGGGUUCGAUUCCCGCUAUCCGCCACA
rnacentral:tRNA from 1 species